UGAUCCUGGCUCAGGAUGAACGCUAGCGACAGGCUUAACACAUGCAAGUCGAGGGGCAGCACAGGUAGCAAUACCGGGUGGCGACCGGCGCACGGGUGAGUAACGCGUAUGCAACUUACCUAUCAGAGGGGGAUAACCCGGCGAAAGUCGGACUAAUACCGCAUGAAGCAGGGGCCCCGCAUGGGGAUAUUUGCUAAAGAUUCAUCGCUGAUAGAUAGGCAUGCGUUCCAUUAGGCAGUUGGCGGGGUAACGGCCCACCAAACCGACGAUGGAUAGGGGUUCUGAGAGGAAGGUCCCCCACAUUGGUACUGAGACACGGACCAAACUCCUACGGGAGGCAGCAGUGAGGAAUAUUGGUCAAUGGGCGUAAGCCUGAACCAGCCAAGUCGCGUGAGGGAUGAAGGUUCUAUGGAUCGUAAACCUCUUUUAUAAGGGAAUAAAGUGCGG
rnacentral:rRNA from 1 species